ACACUCAAACGGUCUUGUUUUUUUUAUAUUACUGUUUUGAAAAAGCUGGAUUUCAUCUCUAUUUAUGGGUAGUUCAUCUGCGAAGAGGGGCAGAUUGUGCUAUUUUAAUUUUUUUUUGUUUGCCUUUCAGAUUGUUCCCUUUUCUGUUUUUGGUUCUUUUGUUUCUGGCAUGGCCAUGCCCUUUCUUGCUUCUGCUUCUGAGUUUUUUCUUUUUCAUUUUUCAUUCAUGGUAUUUUGUAAAUGUUUUGUGUGGAUGGUAAUUUUUCAAUGGUAAAUUAGUUCGACUCUGAUAGGCCCUAUUUUUUGUUUGCUCAUUAUUUUUCUUCGCCAGGAAGUUUCUUGGCCUUCACAAGUAAUUAAGGCCAAGUAAUUCCACAAUUGUAGAAGUCGUUUCUGGGUUGUACAUUUUGCUGGCUCAGGCUUCACUACAAUCUCUGGAGUUGCCCAUGGAGCUGGCUCAGGAGUAGCGGUGGGCCCAGGGUUGGUUGCUUAGUCAUGUACUGCUUUCUUUUCCUUCUUGUAUGUACUGUUUUCUUUUCCUUUCUUAAUUAUGUACUGCCUAUCUUUUCCUUGCUUGUAUUGACGUACUCCAUGUCUUUUCCUUGUUUGAGUAUAUUUAGUUGUUUUUGUUUUGUUUGAUUAAUAGAAAAAUCAGACAUUUGCUUUGUCUGCUUUGUCUGCUUGUUGACCCUGUUUUAAUGGCAGGGAGAAGUCUAUAAAGAAGCCAAGGGUAUUGCCCAGGAAGAGGUCAAAGAGUAAGACAUCGGGCGAGAAGAAGAAAAAGCCAAGAAGGAGAAGAAGGUUAAGGAUUUGCCAAAAAGACACAGAC